UAACAGAAAGGGGCUCUUGCUGGAUACAGAGCUCAUUCUGAUCCCCCAGGCUGUGGGGUUGUGGGGUACUGGUGCAGGGAGAGGGCUUUCGUCAUUCUCACAGGCAGGGUUGUUAAGCCUCCAGGCUGUUAAGGGUCCCAUUCAUUGAUAUAUGAAAAGUGCUUAGGAUAGUACCUGGCUCAUAGUAAGCAAUAAAAAAAUUUAGAAGUAGGUGGUUGCUGGGUUGGUUAAUUGAGCAGUAGUCACACAAGGGCUCAGGUCAGCCUCUUUGCAGUUCUCUUAGUUUCUUCCUCAUAGUCACAGAUGGCUCCUGAAGCUCCAGGUAUUAUAUCAUUAUAUUAGCAAACAUAAUUUCCAAGGUCUGGAAGGGAUAAGCAUUUCUUCAAUAUUCAUUCUCUCUCUCUCUCUCUCUCUCUCUCUCUGCCUUUCUCUGUCUCUCUUUCUCUCUCUCUCUAAUAAAGAUAAAAUCUUUCCCAGAAGCACCCACCCUACCCCGCAUUUCAGAACGGGCUCCCAUAAUCAUUUGCUAAGAUGGGAAGGACGGGUGGGAUGGUCAUGAGUGGACCAGUUAGGUCGUGUCCUCUGGGAUUGGGCCCGUCUUUCUUGACGAUAGCACUGGCCCAAUACCUGCACAAAAUCAGGAUUCUGUUAGGAAAGAAUAAGACAGGAGUUGCAAGUGAUAGAAUAUCCAGAAGUGUCUGCCAGUGAACCCAGGAGAAUCUGAACCCUGAGGGCUCCCAGAGAGGUGGGGAUGAACUGUAGAGCCAUGAACUCAGCAGCAGGAACUCAGGAGGCCAAGGAACUUCUCUGAAGGCCUGUGGUUCUCCUCCCUGGCUUUCCCUUCGAUUAGAUUCAUCUUACUUUUGUUCUUUGAGACAGGGUCUCACUGUGCAGUUCAGGCUGGCCUUGAACUCACUAUGUAGCCCAGGCUGGCCUCAAACUCACAGCAAUCCUCCUGCUUCAGCCUCCUGAGUGGUGAGAUUACAGGCCUGCCCCACCAUGCCCCAUCAUCUGAGAAGAUUUCUAUCCUACUGCCCCAGUUCUCACUCCACACCAAUUAAGUAGAAUCUCAGGGGAUGAGCACAGGCCCCACUACUUGUCAGCUGCUCUGCGGACGAUUCUUAGGUGCAGGCAGGUUAAGCAUCAACUGCUGUAAUGCCUCCCCUGUGCCUUGGCUCUGCCCUCCUGCGUGUGUGUCACCUCCUGCCAGUUUAUCCUCACCCCGCUCUGCCACGUUCUCCAUCCCAGCAGUGCUGCAGUGCCGUUCUUCCUGCCCAGACACUUGAAGCUUCACCACCUCCAGAUUCUCUCAGCAAUUCAUCCCCAUUGCUCGCAGCCCCGCUGUCUCUGUUGCCAAAAUGAUCCCAGAGACUGAGCAUGUGAUUGGUCCCUGCCCAUAAUUCCUUAGCAGGCCGCGCUGUGGGCCCCUGACCAGCCUACGUGUCAGGGGUCUUUGGGUGUGGAGCCACCCAGGGAAGAGUGAGGUCCAGUGGUAGAGUAUGGCUGAUGAAGGACGUUCCUUCUGCAGGGGCCAAGACCUGUCAGUUCUCAGGACAUAGUAGCCAGCUGCCUAGUUCUCUUAGCGAUGAUCAAAGGCUAUUCUCCAUGUCACAAACCUGCACACAGAUUGCCCCCUUCCACCUUUUAGUUGUGUUUAAUUACAAGGACACACAGACACAUGCUUACAAGAAAAACAUGCAAGUGAUUACACGACCUCUGGCCAGACACUCCCUAUGUCUCACUUCCUUGUAAUGUCACUGCUUGUGGAGGUAAGCAGAACUUCCCUGUCAGCAGGCUGGGGGGCACACAAUGGGGACCUUUAGAAGGGGGAAUGUGUCAGGAACAGCCGACCUUAGUUCAAAUCCCAGCUCUGCUCCCACAGCCAGAGGACCCUGGGCAAUUUGCUUCAGCUGUGCCGAAGUUUCUUCACCUGUAAAAUUGGGAUAAUACCAUCUACUUUAUAGGGUCAGUGUCCCCUGUGCCUCCAGGGACAGCAAGUUCCUUCUCCCACUGUCCCAACCUUGGGUUCGUAUGUGGUGGAGUGGAUUCCUAGAUCCUAGGGGAAAGGGUCAUGGUUACUGUCACUUUUGUGUGUUUUACAGGUAUUAUUAACUCAUAGGAAGAAAGAGACCUUAUUGGGCCUCCUGGCCUAAGCAUGUUCUCUAGCUCAGCUUCUCCCUAACCUUUCUUGUAGAGUUAGGGAGUGAGUGCCUCAUUUGAGGGAAUCAGUGCUUUGUUUGGCCAUUGAUCUUCUUAUAAAGGGACGGAGGGUGAAUAGAAGGUUCCCAAGCCCCUAAAGGUUAAUAACUAUUUCUCUGUUAUUACCACAGUCCUCCAAGUCCCUUCCUUCUCUCAGAAAUUACACAGUCAAGUAUGAUUUUCCUAAUAGCUACAAUGGGUAAGAAGACAAUGCCCAAGCUUGACUAUCCUGGCAGAAUACUAAUAACAUUGAGCAGUCUGACUCUAGCACUGAUUUGGAGUCAUAAGGCCUCUGUGCCCUGCUUUAACCAUUCAGUUAUCACUAUGUUCAUUAUUAAAGGUCAGCCUUGGGCACUUCAUAACCCACAGUACAGGCCCAAAGCCCUUGACCUGGAGUGUCACUCACAACCGCGGCCAGCAUCUGGGAUGUACGUGUGAGGUGCUCAUCACGGACAGUCCCCAACCUAAUCCUUGCCACACAUGUGAGGGGUCCUGUUCUUUCUACAGCUGAGGAAACCUGAAGCUUAAGAUGAAAUAAGUUACUGAAGUUCACACAGCAGGUGAGCAGCAGAGCCAAAGGUGUUCAGAAUCUGUGUGCUCAGCUAUUAUUCUCUGCUGACUCCUUAAAUUCCUAAAUAUGUGGUCUACAUCUAAAACAUUCACCCAAUGUGUGCAGAAAGGUUAAAGUAUAUAGUGAAAAAUAAAAACACUAGAGAAAUGUGAAAUUGGAAAACAUACAAGAUUAUAUCACAACUGGCAGGAAAAGUCAAGAAAAUAAGUCAAAUUUCAGGCAGGGGGGAUCGGAUUGAAAAUGAUCAAAAUAAGUCAUAUGCAUGUACUAAUUUCUCAGAAUCUCAUUGUUCUAUAUUACUAACAUGCACUAGUCUUUUAAAAACUCAAAUUCUUAUUGUGGAAUAAACCAACAAACCCAAAUUAUGAAACAUGCUCUAGAAGAUACAUGUAGGGACAUGGCAGGUGUACAACUUUUUUUUUUUAAUGAAUGGCCAGUGGAAGCAGUAAUCCCAGUCUUCUGGUAAUCCCAGAAGACUGGCCUCAAGAGGAGCACUAGGGCUCAUUGUUCAGAUGGGAGAACUCAAGCAUCAAUGCCAUGUUUUGGCAACCUGAGUAACUGUUGAUGGCUGAAUUAGCACAUCAUAAUUCAUUCUCUCCAUCUCUGUGUCCCUCCCUCCCUCCCCUUUGUGCUCAGGGAAACUAUGGUUUCACUGACCCUCGCAGUGCUCACGCCGCACCGUGAAUACUGUGGUCUGUUCAGAGGCUGUUGGAAAAAAAGAGAAGCCCAAAGUAUGUCCCUAGGGGGAAAUAUUAAAGAAAAUGGGCAAAAGGCUUAGGGAGGCUUGCAAGCUGAGUUUCUCACAUCACCACCCUCAGACCUCAUGUUUUGAGUGCAUACCCAUGCAGAGUAUGGAGGAAUAAGAGAGUUCUCAGAGGACCCGCAACUGGACUCACUUCAAAAGUAAGAGAGCACAUGAAAAGCACAGGCUGGGCUCUGUGGGGCAGAGAGAGGAUCCCAUCAGAGCCAAGGAGACUGCCCAAAAGGAGACUCAAUUGAAGAAGGAAGUAGGAAACAAGGACUGGGACCCAGAGGCAGAAGUGCAAAUAGAAUGUUUUGACAACAGUUGUGUUCACGGGUUUGCUUUUAGUUAAGGGUUUUGUGUAAUUGUACAUAAAAUUGGAGACUGAGGAAAGAAGACCUGAAAUGCCAGGUUAAAGAGGGAGGGCUAUCCUUUAAGCUCUAAGGCACCUUCAAGGGAAAAUUGAUACUUCGGAUGUUUUGGGAAAAUUCAUCUUGCAGCAGUGAGGAAGAAUUGGAGGAGGGAAAGCUUGAUGCGCCUGGACCAGGGCGAGAGCAAUGGUGACAUGAAGGAAGGGCUAGGUGAGGGAGACGAGGGGAACUGCUGGCGCCAAUCCAAUGAGCGACUGGACAUGGGGACCCGGAGAGACACAGCACUCCAGAGUCACAUGUCCAGGAGAAAAGCUACGAUGGAGAAUCGUGAACUUGACAGAGUCCAAGAGGAUAUACCAGGACCAGCUUAUCUCUUGGGAGGCAGAUCUGGACUCCAUACAAGGCCCUUUAGCUAACACUGCAAGAAUGGAAUUAGAAGCAGUGGGACCCAUCAGGGUGGGAGGACAGGCUUGAGGGUCUGUGACGGUAACAGGGAUGGUGGGGGGGGCGCUGCAGACAGACAGCUCUGCCUGGGAGCAGGCUGAGAGACGGGAGGGUGGUCAUGCAAGAGUGGGUGGGGAACAGAUGUCUGAGCCAAGAGGAGGGAGCAAAUGGGUGUGGGGAAGAAAGAGUGGGAUGCGGCUGUCUGUGUCUGAGGCAGAGCAGGUGGGUGAGAGCAUCAGCACUUCAAGUCCCUGCUGCUCCAGGCUGGGUCUUUGGGUUACAUGGGAUCCAGGUUUUGUGGGUCUAGAUUAUAAAAACAGAGUUCCAUAAGAUCACAGGAGGGUAUUUUCCUGAUUGUCCCUGUCUUUGCCUGCUGUUGUAGAUUCCCAUACACACCCUCUUAAAAGCCCCCACCCUGAAUCAUGUCUGCUCAGGAGCAUGACCACCUCCUCGUCCCAGGCUCCAGUUCCAGCUCUCUGUGCCAUGUCCAUUGCUGAGCCAGACCCAACUGUGGCCACCUCCGUCCCCUCACUGCAGAGGUGCUGGGCCAGUCCAGUCCCACUGGGCCACUUGCCCUGUGCAUUGAUGAUGUUGGCUUCCGGGGAUCUUUGGUGUAGCAAUACCCUAAUCUAAGCAAGGGUCAGGACCCUUCUCUGCCAGUGUUGAGGCACUUUCCUCCAAUGGAUUUCAAAAGGCAAAUUAUCUUGGUUCCUCCACUGGGCCAAAGGGAGAAUCCACUGUAAGGUACCAAUUGCCUGGAUGGCCCAGGUCCCACACAGAAGGGGGCUGAACAGGUUGAUCCGUAUCACUCAUUCCCUGCCCUGGUCCAAUCCUAGGGCUCGUGUCAGGGUCACAUGGGCAGCAGCGGCUGUGCACGGGAAUUGCUCCUGAAGGAUGAUGGGUAGGACCAGCAGUGAGCAGCAUUUCUAACGUAAAAACCUCCACGCUGUGCGUGUUCAUUCUGUGUCACGUGUUUCCGGCACAUCAUUCACUUAACUCUCACAACAGCUCUCUGCCAGAGACAUUGUGAUUCCUUUUUUCAGGCGUGGAAACUGAUAUUAAAAUUUAAGUAAUUUGCCUAAUGAGGUACAGCCACUAGAUGCCAGAGCUAGGAUUCAAACCUACGUCUUUCUGAGUCCAAAGUACCAUCAUGCUCAAGUUUACAUCACUCUUUUUUCUUUUUUUUUUUUGGUACCGGGGAUCGAACUCUGGUCCUUGCGCUUGCGCAGCAGGCGGUGAAACCACUGAGCUAAAUCCCCAGCGUUCACAUCACUCUUGACCAUGCUGGUUCAGCCAGUCCAGUUCCCUAGACCAGAAGACCACUUUGAGAGCUGAGUAGUUUUGUUUGGUCAUAGCUACAUUGACUUGCUUAUUAAAUCAACAGUGACAGAGCACUUACCCUGUACCUCACACUGUCUGCCAUGGUUAUGACACCCUGGUGACCAACUCACAGAGCUUCCAAUUGGGAAGGGGGCAACAUACAUGGAUGUGAAUUGAAGAAGAGGCUGACUGUACUGAUAGGCACUAAAGAAAACUUUCCUAAAGGACCCCUUGUCUCAUGGCCCUGGCCAGGGGGAAGUCAGAAAUCCUCUUCUAGUUCUGACUCUACUCUUUACUACCUUCCAAUUCCUCCCCUGGGCCCCAGUUCCCUCAUCAGUGUAAAGAAGGGGUCAUGUUUAGAUGGCUUCUAAGCUCUCUUCCAAUUCCAUCAUUUCCUGAAGCUAUAAUGAGGGCAAGAAUCUCUUGCAGGACGAACCCUAGGGCUUAGAUAUGAUGAGCCAGGAGCCACAGAGGUGUGGCAGCACUGGGAAAGAAGAAAGGUCAGGGUCUAGGAAAUCAAGUUUAGGGGCCAGAGACAACUAGAGGGCUCCAGGCAAGUUGGAACCUGGAAUCCAGCAGGUGAAAGCUUGAGGCCAUGGCACCUGGGGAAAGAAGUCCCUCACAGGACCUAGACCCUCAGGAACCCUGUUGGGGCAGUCUGGUGCCCAUGUACCUGGUUUUCUCCCAGCUCUGGCAAAUUGACAUUAAUAAAAGUCCGAAGUAAAGGGUUUGUGAUAUCCACUCCCUAGCCUGGGGAACCCAGCUUCAUAUCAUCACUGGGUCACAGACUCAGCUUUGCAUGGCCUUUAAUGAGUUAUUGGAAAAACCUAACCAGAGGGAAAUUGCAUUAUAUUACUACAGAGAAAGCCACACCCUCAGAUCAACUAAAUCGCUGGAACAGGAAUCUCCUUCCCAUUGGCAAGGUCCCAGCAAGGAAGGGUGGAAAUGAACACCAUAAAGCAGUGAUGGCUAACCUUUUAGAGCUUUCUUUUUGUUUUGUUUUGUUUCUUGGAGACAGGGUCUUGCUAUGUAGUUCAGGCUGGCCUUGAACUCACUAUGUAGCCCAAGCUGGCUUUGAACUCAUGGCAAUUCUCCUGUUUCACCCUCCCGAGUACUGGGGUACAGGCAUCCGCCACCCUGCCCAGCCUUUUUAGAGCUUUCAGUGAUGACAAACAGCCUGCUGCAGCCUGCAUGCCCUAGGUUCGCCACCACUGCCAUAAAGCAAAGAGGGACCUGGCUAGGCCUCCAGAUCAGCCUUGCAUCGUCCAUGACAAAUAUCUCAUUAUUGAUAGCACACUUCAGUUCUCUCACCAGCUGCUCUGGGGCGGCAAUGGAAGUUGUCUACCUGCCUCUGGGCCCUGCUUUUCCCACCAGCUACUCUAAUACAGCCCCUCUCAUGGCUUCAGUUAUGGUUCCUUCUCACCCACAUCUUCCCUUGCAUGGAAAAACUUACCUAGAUAUGUUGCAUGUUGGAAAAUGCUAUUUCAUUCUCCUCUUCAACCUCCAGCUCCCAGGCUCCCCUGGUUCCUGUUCAUGUCGAUCCCAUAGGACAGCCCAGCAGGGUCUCCAGCUCAACUCCCUUCUACUUACUACUGUUGCCUUCCUACAGAAUUGAAAUUGGAUGAGCAUCGAAGGAGAAAGAGGAAGAAAGAGAGAGACAGAGACAGACGGAGAUAGAGAUAGAGACAGAGAUGAAGAGACAGAGACAAAGAAAAAGAAAGGCCCACGCUAAGUCUGGCAUGGCUUAGCUGAGGCCUCCCUUCAGGUUCUCUCACAGGACUGAUCAAGGUGUCCACCCAGGCUUCCAGGCUUUUUGAGGCUCAGGAUCACUCAAGUUGUUGGGACAACUAAGAUCUUGUGGCUGUGGGCUGAGGCCCCUACAGCUACUCUUUAUAGCCACGGCACAGCAGGGCUGCUGUUUCUUCAAGGCCAGGUGAAGAGUGCCUCCAACACCUGCUUAUGCUGGGCCUGCUGGGACGGCCUCCCUCCCAACGGAUUAAGGACUUUAAUUGUACGUGGAAACUCUUCCCCUGCGCUAAAUCCUGUAACACAAGUACAGCGACCUACAUCACCUUUGCUGCAGCCUACUGGGUAGAAGCUCUUGCUUCUAGUCUUACAGGUUUCACCCACACUUGGGAGGGGAUUCUACAGAGGACUGGGCACCAAGGCACAGGAGUCACGGAGACCAUCUGAGAUAUCUGCCUACCACAAUAUUGUAUCAUGGAAUGAGAAGGAGACAAUAUAAAUCCAUAAUUUUACCAUUGAAAAGAACCAUUGUCAACAUUUUAGUUGACAUUUCCUUCUAGUCUUCUGACCAUAUUUCUUUUUGUAUUAUUAAAAU
rnacentral:lncRNA from 1 species